rnacentral:lncRNA from 1 species
AAGGUGUGUUGGUCGAUGUUCACAGGAGAAGAGAAGGGGGUUCUCAUCAAGAACCCUAAACACUCAAAAAUUUAACAAAAUCAAAGAGAAAUCGAGCCAGGAAAUUGGGGCUUUUAAUAAAAUCGUGAUCACCAAGCUUAGGGGAUCACAAGUUUGACGCCUAACAAGCUAGAUGGAAGCUUGUGGAUGAAACGGGUCAAACGGAGCAAGUACGAAAAGAAAAGCGUGGCAUGGAUGCGAGGUAAGUAAAGCUUACGCCCCUUUACAUUAUUUACAAAUUACCUAAUUGCAAGUAUUGUAUAUGGAGGCUACUAAGUGAUUGGUAUAUGAUGUUCCGACACGAUUCAAUGAGAGUCUGAACAAGGGAAAAUGGUAAGAAAUCAUGAAUUUUGGUAAAAGGGGCAAAAAGGUAAAUUAGUCAUGUAAUGACGAACAAAUAAAAACGGUUUUAAGUAAAACGAGUUUAAGGGAAAACCGGGACAGGUUUAAAGGGAUGAAAUGGUAAUUAAAUACCAUCUCAUACAGAUAAAUGGUCAAUUAGACUAAAUGGGUUAAAUGGUGUUGUUAACACCAUUUGACAAUUACAUUUGACAAUUGCUUUUUGAGUUUUGUAAUCACAGGAAAUAACAUAAGCGUGCGUUGCUUUAACUAGAAAGAUUUAAAGCAAAAGUUAUGUAAACGGGUCAAUACCUUGACCCGAGCCAGGUACGUAUAAAUAAGCUUUUAGUUAAUCAUACAAUUUUUGGUCAAAUAUUUAGCGAAAGUCCUCUGUCGUAAAGUGAGGGACUAAAGUUGACCAAAACACCCUUGAAGGGUAUAUUGGGCAAACGAUCCAUAGGGGUUGUUUAGGAACUUGCGUUAAGAUUAUGGAAUCAUUAAAUAUGAAUAAAAAGUUAUAGAAAUACACAUUCGUGGGUCAAAUGCACAAAAAUGGUCAUUUGCGUAAAAUGACCAACUGAUGGGUAAAUUAGGGAUAAUAGGUUAGUUAUGCUAAAUCCGCCACCAAAAUAGUUGUGGUGGAACAUAAGCAGAUAUUUAGUUGUGGCAUUGCGAAGUAUGAAAAGAAAAGUGCUAGUUCUAGACCAAAAUGCAUAAAAGAUCCCCUAAACGGGUCAAAAUGAAUUACGCGUGUAACUUGGGUGUUUGCCGCGUAAUUCACAAAACUUAUGAAUCCAAGAUAGAUAUUUUGAGUUAAAUACCUUGGUUUAUGAUUUAUGAUUAACUAGAAACAAGUUUGGAGGUCUUAAAUACAAACGAGUCAAAAUGUGGAUUUUGAGUAAUAAGCCGGAGACUUAAAGUCUGAAAUUUUGUUAAUCCGGAUGUUGGAUUUUAACUCCAUGAGAUGGAGAAUUAAAUUACGGUCACGUAGGAAAAAGAAUCGUGUAAAACGGAUAAAAAACGAGAAAGUUAUGCUCGUUUCCGUAAAAUCCGGUUGUGCUGGGAAUAUGCAGCAACCAGCUGCAACAGUCUGAUGAAAACAAGCCGUGGCGUAGCGCGACGGGGAAGGCCCCAGGCCGUGGCGCUACGCGAGCGGGUGUCAGUUUCGCGAAAAUCGUUUAUUUUAACCGUUAAUGCAUUACGAACCCGUUUAAAUACUUUCUAAGUUACGUGUGGCUAAUCCAACUCAUGUUUUAUGAGUUUCAGGUAAAAUUUUAGCACCGGAGGACGAUCAAGCACAAUAAAGAACCAAACACGAUCAAGAAAUAAGCUCCCGCAUGACGUUUCGUUGUUACUUUUAAAUGACGAACUUAAUUACAUUAUGUUCUAAACUUUUAAAUUGUAAAAGGUUUUAAUAAGCCCAUAUUUCCAAUGUAUAUGUAAUCUUAAUUACAUGAUUGUUUUCGUAAAACAUACGUUAAACCUCGAUUUAUAAGAACGGGUGUUACAAGUUGGUAUAAGAGCUCAUGGUUAAAAAGUAAAGUGUGUUCGGUUCGAGGCUUGAUCGCAAAUCCGGUAAGUACGUGUAUUUUAAUGGUUUAACAUGUUAAAGUGUUGUAAAUAACUCAUAGGGUUAUCGUGUAAUAUACGAUACCUCAAUUAAAUAAUAGAUAUAGUUAACAAAAUUAUGUGCGUUAACAGGUAUAGUAGAAAAGCCUUGUACUAACUUUUGUGAAUGUUUUAAUUGGAGGAAACUCGCAUUUGAAGAUGAUGAGGGUUGACCAAAUUACGGAUAUGAUAGAAGAAUGGUCCGAAGUAUGAAAAGUGGAGCAUGCUCACCAAGGACCAAAUCGCGUAACAAUCGCGAAUAAAAGUAAAGGCAAGGAAAGCCCGUCGGGGCAAGCAUUACCAGUUUGACGCCUAACAAGCUAGAUGGAAGCUUGUGGAUGAAACGGGUCAAACGGAGCAAGUACGAAAAGAAAAGCGUGGCGUGGAUGCGAGGUAAAAUUUUAGCACCGGAGGACGAUCAAGCACAAUGAAGAACCGAACACAAUCAAGAAAUAAGCUUCCGCAUGAUGUUUCGUUGUUACUUUUAAAUGACGAACUUAAUUACAUUAUGUUCUAAACUUUUAAAUUGUAAAAGGUUUUAAUAAGCCCAUAUUUCCGAUGUAUAUGUAAUCUUAAUUACAUGAUUGUUUUCGUAAAACAUACGUUAAACCUCGAUUUAUAAGAAUGGGUGUUACAAUUUUUGUC